CUCCGCCCCACCUGCCUGGAUUGACAGGUCACAGCUGGAUGUGACCAGGUACCAGGAUGUCCGGUCUGUCCCGAUCGUCCUCUCAUCUUCACUGGAGGAUGACUCCUUGUCCUCAUCUGAACUGAGGUGUUGAAUAAAAAGGGCCCUCAGUCAGAAACUUUACAGGUCAGACGCGUUAUUCUUAGUAUAGAGCCCUUCAUAAACCGGGUAGUUUGCAUACUGGUAGCUGAUUGGCUAAAAACAGCAUUUAGCCGUGUGUAUGUGAGACUGUAUACGGUCACCACGAUCAUUGCGCCUUUUCACCUCGAUAAAAUGGCUACAGCAAACAAUGUGGAACACAUGCCGAUGUAGAAAAUAAACGUUCAAAUGAAUUUGAGAGAAACCGAAACGAAUUGUGAAACAAACAAAGUGGGCACUUUACCCGCUUCACUGACUGGUGCGCCGAACAAGGGAUAUAUUGAGUUUGUGAAUACAACCAAAAUGGAGCUGAAAGUCAUUCUACGGGACUUUUAAGUGAUAAACAUGAAUGGCGAAAAGGAUGGGAUUAGCAGCUAAACUGCCGCUGGAUUUGAACCGACAUAUCAAUGACCCCCUCUCAGUCUGGCAUGGAAUAUACAGGACACCGAAAUCACAACGCGCAACAAUGUGUUGUCUCUCAGCGUAAUUAAAAAGUUGAGGAAGAGGGAUGCGACAAAGCAGUGAAUGGAUACUAUGUUAUGUAACUGUACACAUGUCAAGAGCCGAUAGGAGUGAACACCCUCGCAACAAUGCUGCCAAAACCCUGAAAAAUAGCUGGCUCGUCACAGAUGUACACAAACUACUACCUCGUCAUCCAUUUAUAGUAGCGUGGAGCCAACAACAUUUACAUUUACAUUUAAGUCAUUAAACAAACAUGGAAUAUUUUUUUUCAUUUGUGCACAAUAAAUGACAACAUUCAGAUCAACGUUAA